rnacentral:ncRNA from 1 species
ACUGUGGUAAUUCUAGAGCUAAUACAUGCCGACGAGCGCCGACCUCCGGGGACGCGUGCAUUUAUCAGACCAAAACCAACCCGGGCUCGCCCGGCGGCUUUGGUGACUCUAGAUAACCUCGAGCCGAUCGCACGCCCCCGCGGCGGCGACGACCCAUUCGAAUGUCUGCCCUAUCAACUUUCGAUGGUAGUGUCUGUGCCUACCAUGGUGACCACGGG